rnacentral:rRNA from 1 species
AUUGAACGCUGGCGGCAGGCCUAACACAUGCAAGUCGAGCGAGGGGCAGACGGGUGAGUCAUGUCUGGGAAACUGCCUGAUGGAGGGGGAUAACUCCUGGAACCGGUACCUAAUACCGCAUACCAUCCGAUGUUCCCUGAGUGGAUUAGCUAGUAGGUGGGGUAACGGCUUACCUAGGCGACGAUCCAUAGCUGGUCUGAGAGGGUGACCAGCCACACUGGAACUGAGACACGGUCCAGACUCCUACGGGAGGCAGCAGUGGGGAAUAUUGCACAAUGGGCGCAAGCCUGAUGCAGCAAUGCCGCGUGGAUGAAGAAGGCCUUCGGGUCGUAAAGCACUUUCAGCGGGGAGGCGGUACCCGAAGAAGAAGCACCGGCUAACUACGUGCCAGCAGCCGCGGUAAUUC